UCCCAGUUCGGAUUGCAGGCUGAAACCCGCCUGUAUGAAGUUGGAAUCGCUAGUAAUCGCGGAUCAGCAUGCCGCGGUGAAUACGUUCCCGGGCCUUGUACACACCGCCCGUCACACCAUGAGAGUCGGGAACACCCGAAGUCCGUAGCCUAACUAGCAAUAGGGGGCGCGGCCGAAGGUGGGUUCGAUAAUUGGGGUGAAGUCGUAACAAGGUACC
rnacentral:rRNA from 1 species